GGGGCUGGCCAGGAAGUAAUCGACCAAAGACCUUGUAUGCAUAUAUGCAUAACCCUCGUACAGACGAUAGGGUGGUUAAGGCCUGGGGUGGGAGUGAGUGGGAGGGGGUCAAUGGAGGAAAAAAGGGGACAUAUGUCAUACUUUCAACAAUAAAGAAUUAUUUUUUUAAAAAAACUGGUUGAGAAAUGCACACCCAACAAAUAUGUAGAUGCUGUAAUGAGUGUUCUAUAUUUUAAAAGUCCAAGUUUUUCUUAAGAAACGGCAAUAUUAUGCUUGCUUCGAAAGCACAUAUACUAAAAUUGGAACGACACAGAGAAGAUUAGCAUGGCCCCUGCACAAAAAUGGCAUGCAAAUUUGUGAAGUGUUCC